rnacentral:rRNA from 1 species
GAUACCCCUGUAGUCCUGGCCGUAAACGAUGAACACUAGGUGUCGGGGGAAUCGACCCCCUCGGUGUCGUAGCCAACGCGUUAAGUGUUCCGCCUGGGGAGUACGCACGCAAGUGUGAAACUCAAAGGAAUUGACGGGGGCCCGCACAAGCGGUGGAGUAUGUGGUUUAAUUCGAUGCAACGCGAAGAACCUUACCAGGGUUUGACAUCCUGCGAAUCCCUUGGAAACUUGGGAGUGCCUUCGGGAGCGCAGUGACAGGUGGUGCAUGGCUGUCGUCAGCUCGUGUCGUGAGAUGUUGGGUUAAGUCCCGCAACGAGCGCAACCCACGUCUUUAGUUGCCAGCAUUUAGUUGGGCACUCUAGAGAGACUGCCGGUGAUAAACCGGAGGAAGGUGUGGAUGACGUCAAGUCAUCAUGCCCCUUACAUCCUGGGCUACACACGUACUACAAUGCUACGGACAAAGGGCAGCAAACUCGCGAGAGCUAGCAAAUCCCAUAAACCGUGGCUCAGUUCAGAUCGUAGGCUGCAACUCGCCUACGUGAAGGAGGAAUCGCUAGUAAUCGCAGGUCAGCAUACUGCGGUGAAUACGUUCCCGGGCCUUGUACACACCGCCCGUCACACCAUGGAAGUUGGCCAUGCCCGAAGUCGUUACUCCAACCCUUGUGGAGGAGGAUGCCGAAGGUGGGGCUGAUGACUGGGGUGAAGUCGUAACAAGGUAGCCGUACCGGAAGGUGC